AGCGCCUCUGCUGGGUGGAAUGUCUAACUUCGGGGACCAUCUAGACCCUCUUUUAAAAAGCUCACCUGAUUAGAUCAGGCUCACCCAGGAUAAUUUACCUUGUGAUUGACUCCAAGUCAACUGCAAAUUAACUACAUCUGCAGGAUCUCUUUUCGUUUGCCAUACAAGUUCUGGAGGUCAGAAGUCAUAAAUGAGCCUCAAGGGAGCUGAAAUCCAGGUGAUGGCAGAGAUGGUUCCUUCUGGAGGCUCCAAGGGGAAUCUGUUCCGUGCCUCUUCCAGUUUCCAGCUGCCAUCAUACCUUGGCUUCUUGGCUCAUGGCUGCAUCACUCCAAUUUCUGCUUCCUUCAUCAGGUGGCCUUCUCCCCUCUAUGUUGCUACUGCCUGCCUCAUAUAAGGAUGCUUGUGAUUGCAUCGUUGGGCCCACUGGGAUAAUCCAGGACGAUCUCCCUAUCUCAAGGUCCUUGGCUUACACCUACAAAAUCAUAUUCAUAGGUUCCAGGGCUUAGGACAUGGACAUCCUCGGGGGGCUCUCUUCAGCCUACCACAGGGAUGGUUUGUGUUUCUAGAACACCUCUCAUCCUACCUGCCUGUGCGUUAUGCCAGUAAACAAAGCCACCAUUUAGCAAACAUGGACUCUGCUUGGAGCUGGACCGAGUGUUCCGUGUGCAGCACCGUGCUGACCCCUCACAACCCUGUCUGAUGCUGGCACAUUUACUUUCAUUCUUGUCUUAGAGAGGAGAAACCAAAGCCUGAGAUUUAAGUGACUUGCUCAAGGUCGUACAGGGAGUAAGUCAAGGACCUGAGAUUUGAACCCAGGUCUGUUUGGUUCCAAGAUCAUUUUCCUCGACAUCCCCCUCUUCCUGCCUUGGUAGCCAGCCCCCAAGAAGGCUCCCACUGGUCCUUGUCACUCCCUAUGUAGACCCCUCCCACAUGGUACCGGGAUUGGUCACUGUGACCAAUAGAAUACAACGAAAGAGGUUAUGUGUCUUCUGAGGCUAGGGCACCAAAGAUGUUGUCACCUUGCUCUCUCUCGGACACUCGGUCUGGGGAACCAGAUGCCAGGUUGUGAGCAUGCUGAAGCAGCUCUGUGAAGAAGGUUCACGUGGUAACUGAGGCCCCCUGCCAACAAACAGCACCAACUCGCCAGCUGUGUGACUGAGCCACCUCGGAAGUGGAUCCCCCAGCCCCAAUCAGGUCCUCAGAUGACUGCAACCCUGGCUGACAUCUUGAUGCAACUUUAUGAGACAUCCAGAUUCCAAACCGCCCAGCUAGGACGUUCUUGGAAACUGUGAGAUAAGAACUGUUUAUUUUUGUUUUUAGCCACUACUUGUUGAAGUAAUUUGUUAGGCAGCUAUAUACGACUAUUACAAGGCCCAAGUUUUGGAAGUCUGAGCAGGUUUUGCUCUGAGCUUUAGCUAUUUCAAAGGAGGUGCUAGUCAGGCCUUCACCCUCUGGAAACUGUGUUCCAGUCCAGCAGGUUAGGCGGCCGGCCCUGGAGUGGGGAACCCAGCAAUUCCAGAACAUUCCUCAUUCCUGAGCACUUCCCACAAAGAACAGAAAUACCUUUCAUCUAUUAUCCCGCUGCUCUAAAACCAUCAAUGGCUCCUUAAUGCCCAUAAAUGGUUCUCUCAAGCCCAAACUCCUUAGUCUGGCAUUCCACCUCGCCCUCUCUCCCAUGUCACAAC
rnacentral:lncRNA from 1 species